UACGUAGGGAGCAAGCGUUGUCCGGAAUCAUUGGGCGUAAAGCGCGCGUAGGCGGCCCUGUAAGUCCGCUGUGAAAGUCAAAGGCUCAACCUUUGAAAGCCGGUGGAUACUGCAGGGCUAGAGUCCGGAAGAGGCGAGUGGAAUUCCUGGUGUAGCGGUGGAAUGCGCAGAUAUCAGGAGGAACACCAAUAGCGAAGGCAGCUCGCUGGGACGGUAUUGACGCUAAGGCGCGAAAGCGUGGGGAGCAAACAGG
rnacentral:rRNA from 1 species